rnacentral:rRNA from 1 species
GACGAACCGUGCAAACGUUAUUCGGAAUCACUGGGCAUAAAGGGCGCGUAGGCGGCUUUCUAAGUCAGGGGUGAAAUCCGGCAGCUCAACUGUCGCAGUGCCUUUGAUACUGGAGAGCUCGAGGGAGGUAGGGGUCUGUGGAACUUCCGGUGGAGCGGUGAAAUGCGUUGAUAUCGGAAGGAACGCCGGUGGCGAAAGCGACGGACUGGAUCUCUUCUGACGCUGAGGCGCGAAAGCCAGGGAGCAA